CUUCAUACCAGGUAAAUGUUAUGUCUUGUAGUAUUCUACCAUAGUGCAUAUGUUAUGGAUUCUUUUUAUUAUUAUUUUAUUUUAUGUUUAUAUUACACUGACCUGUAAUAUAUUGGUUGCUGUGAGGUUUGCCCAACAGGACAGAUCUAAGAUAGAAAUUAGCAUUUCUGAUUUUCUAGUUCAAAGUUUAUGUAGAGUACAAAAAUACUGAAAAAAGUUCAUCUAAGGAAAAAAUCUCUAUACAUAACCUUGUUAAUACUUCUUUGAUGGUUCUAGGAUGGAAUAUUAAAUGCAUGUUUAAAAGAAGGAUCCUUAAGGAAAAUAGUGGUUCUGCUAGACUUUCUUAGUGCACUGCAUUCAUUUUAAACAGGAAAUCAUUUUGAUUUCAAUGCCAUAUUAGCAUGCCUUUUGCUUUACGAUAUCAGUACUGGACUAUUAAAACUCACUGCAGGUUGAUGUUGCUUUUUGAUAUGGCACCAUUCAAACAUAUAUUAUAUUUGAAGAUGUGCAGGAUUACUGAGAACUUCAAUCAACAUUUUUGGCCUUUGUAAAGGAUCUUAGCCAGGCAUUUUGUUCAGUUACACUCUAUCUGAUGCCACAACAUACGUGGUAGUACUGCUUUCGGAAAGUGCGAAACUGAUAUAUUGUGCCAUCUAUGGCAGCAUUUGUUCAGCAUUUGCUACAAACAGGAGAAAAAAGAUACCGAAUGCAUGGAUUGAUUUUCAAAUUACCUCAAUAUUUUGAAAACAUUUUCACCUGCAUGCUGAGAAUGCUAAGAAUGGGAAGGAAGGCAAUUGUGCACUUGCACAGCCUCCACUGCAUUCAUUUAUAAAUUACCUCAUCACUGACUGAAAUUAACACUGAUUCUUACAGGCAAUUUCUCAAUUUCCAAUGCUAAUUACAUUUUUUUUACUUUUAAAUUCUGUACCACCUGUUUUGGGCAAGACAUCUUAGGCAGCGCGACCGCAUUUAAUCACAAUUUUAAUUAACCGCCCUGUAGAUGUGAAAAAGAAGCAAUUAUAAUGUAGAUGAAUGAUGAUUUUUCUGCAUUAAAUUGUUUUGUUUCCCUGGUAUGUUGAUUGUAACACAGCACACAAAUACAGUAACUGUACAAUUUUUUUCUAUUGUAAUUUAGUAAUUGUUUUUGGAAAACCAGUUUGGGAAUGAGUGACUUCAUCUGUUUACAAAUUGAUUGAUACUGUUAACUCACUGAUUGCUGCAGCAUACAUUUUGUAUUGCACAGCCUAGCAUAAAAUAUAAUUAGGCAUGCAUAGACUUUGCAGCACCAUUUUGGAAACUGAAAAUCAACUGUAACUGAAGUAUGUUUUUCUUGAGUGUACUAGUAUCAGUUGGGGCUGAUAAUCAAAAAGCAGCGGGCUAUUCCGAUCCCACUGCUGUUAGAAACCCUUGGAUUUAAUCUGAUAGUCUAAUGUAAUAAGUUUGCAGUAAGUUUUUUGAAUUGUGCUGUAACAGACCUGAAAGUAGGGGCUGGGAAGCAUGAAGCUUGCACAACUCACUAAGAUCAAUAUCACAAGGAUCAUACAAGUGAUGUAAAGAAACAAGGAUGGAAAAAAAGACCUGGAGCUUAUGAAGGGAAGGAAUUGUUACGGGCACUUUGGCACAGUGCACUAGUGUGCUGUUGCACUGGCUAUCUCCAGCUACGCAUUACAGUAGGAUAAGAUCUCAUUCAGACUCAUGGCUUGCAGAUAUGAAUCUUUCAAGUUAUAUAUAUCAAUGCAUAGAAAUUCAAAGAUCUUAUUUGUAUGAGGCUGAGUCUGUUUUCUUUCUCAGGGAGGGACAUAACAUUGGACUCAGAGAGAAGCAGAUGUGCAGUGCUGGCAACACUGGUGUAUUUGGAACUGCAGACUGAACAACUACUGUGCUCUGGAUAGUCCUGGACUACAAUCCUGCAGGGGAUUUCCUAACCCGUGGAGAGAGUCCCUUGAGUAAAGUUGAGUUCCUAUAUAAGACACAUUCCCUUCCUCUAGAAGUGGUGAAAUUUUAGGGUUCCAGGACUGCAAGUUAUCAUAGUUAUAACUACUGAGGAAACUGGCAGAGGGCUAAAAAUGAAUGCAACCCUGAUUUCUAGCUCUAUGACAUCAGUUGUCUCCUCUCCAGCUUCCUUCUUUUGCAGUCCUCUGACUGUGAAGCCCUUAGCCAUGAGAAUGUGUAAAGUCACAUUGUGAAAAGUCACAUUAGCCUGGGUCAUGUUCCAUCCCAGUCAAGUUUAUGAUGUCACUAACAGCAAAGAAGAAAUACAAACAGAGGGAAAAAGAUCAAGAUCUGGGGCCCGAUCCUGCUGUCUUUGAAGCCAGGGAGAAUUUUGCUAUUAAUGUCAAUUACAGCAAUGUCAAGCCUAUGGCUAGGACAUUGUGAGGAGCCCUAGUUCUUCUCCUUUCUCCUGUCUGUUUCAUAAAUAUUUGCUAAUAAAGUAUUAAUAGAGAUCAUAAAAUCUACACCAAGGUUCAUUUUGAUUGUUUAGUAAGAAUCCAUCUCAUUCAUACUUAAAAGGGCCUAUUAUCUCACUGUGCAAGAGAUUUACAUGCGUAACUCCCAUUAACUCUUAUGGGACAUAGGCAUGUAAAUCUCUUGUGCAUCUAGAGAAGAAUAGACCACAUAAGGUCUUGUGAUCUAUACUGCUAGUAGGUUUCAGUCCCUUUCAUUUAUAAAACUAUCCAAAAAUUAACCAUUAAAGCUUAUUCUGUGCAAGCUGUCCCCUACAUAUAUCAUCCCGCUUGCUGUUGGAAGUACUCGAUGUAAAUGCACACUGUGGAAAGGUACCAUAGAAAGCAAGCCCAUUCAUUUUAGUUAGUAAAACUGUCAUAGUUGAAAGGAAGCAGACUAAGGGCAGGUAGAAAAAUUGUACAGGUUUUACCCAGCAGAUUCAAUUUCAGAUUUAGGCUCUAGACUGAGCUGUUUGGAGAAGGAAUACUUUCAUUUUGUGGAGCAUUCCCUUCCCCUCCUCCUCCACCCUCCACUUACAGCCCUCAAGUAAAGCACUGGGUAUUAUAAAGGAAGAGGGCAAAAUAUCCCUGAACAGCUGGAAUGAUAGAAGCUUUACACAAUCAAACUAAGAUGCUCUGCCUAAGGAAGAUGAAAUCUUUUAUUUCAUAAACUUGUUUGAGCUGAAAUGUUCAUGGGGAAGCCUGUAAAAGUGGGAACAUCUGUGUUCCUGCUGGGAUUUGAUGGCUCACCACAAACCUUUCCAUAAGCAUUUUGUCUUUGAUAUGAAACAAAGAGGAAAAUACCUGAUCCCCAGCCUCAGUCAGUCGCAGCUCCCUGUAUCUUCACACCCUGACCUACUGAACAUUCCUUCCAGCAAAGAGCUGCUUCCCAUGGCUACCUCCUCAGUGUAAGCUAGCUAACUAAUCUCUUAGCAAACACUUGCAGCAAACCUGAAGAGAGUUUGAAAAGAAGAAGAAGAGGGGGAAAAAAACUUUUUUUGAGAUAAAGCCUAAGGCAUUUCCAAUAGGAAGGAAUCAGAAUCUAUAUUUAGGUCUACAUACUCUAGUUUUCUCUUGAUAAACCAAUGAGAUGUAAAGUUAUGGCCAUCUAAUGAACCUUUUUUAUCUUAAUCCUGUUUCCUCCUCCUUUCCAUUAACCUGCCAUAAACUCACUUGCUUUAUUACUGCCUACCAAUAAGCACGUGACUGUGCUUACAGGUAUUUGCAAAGUGCUCCCUUUAUCACAACAACACUGUAGGGAUGAUAUGUCAUUUGAAAAGUCCAUCCAGUGUGCCCUGUCUGCACAUAGGGGUAACCUUUCCUUAGGAGCUUAUAAGAAAAUCCACUGUUGAAAUAAAUAACAACUCUCAACAAAUGAUCAAAGAAAAAAUAAAUCUUUUACCCUUAUAAGACUUUUUAAAACUGAAAUCCCAUUUUUAACUGGAUAACAGUUAAGAGGCUAGCAGCCACCUAUUUAUCUGGGAACUGUGUUUUAAAUGUUUGCUGCAUGGAAAUUGGACAGACAAAUGGAUCUGCAGUUCUUGGGAGUGAGAGCUUUUAAAAUAAAGUUUGUAUGUAAUAUAUGAAAACAUAUUGUUUGGAAUUUAAGUUCUAAUAUCUAGGAAUAAACAGAGCAUUAAAUCAAGCAAAACUGUGACAAGGCCAAUAUGCACAUGGAUGAUGCCAGCGAGGCAUCUCCAACCCUUUGUUCACAGCUUAACAAAACUGUGCCGUCACACCACUUUAGCUCAACAGUGCCUGUCGAAUGGGCAUCAGCAGAUCAGCCAAUGCCUGUCACACACACAGCUGAAAAACUGUUUGAAAGCAAGGCUUACUUUAGCACAAGUCUGGUAGGAAAAGUGUGAGGGAUUUUUAAUCAUCUAAUAAAGACCAAAAAAUGUUUUUUUAAAUGUAGGCAAAAAUAUUUACAGCCCUCUUCCCAGGAGAAGUAGCACAGUUCUCUUCUUUUUUACCUUGGAAAAGCAACCAAGAGUGGCUCUAAUACCCUUGAAUAUUCUUUGAUAGUUUACUUCCUUUACUGCAACUGGGGGGGAAGGGUCAUAAACAGGAUCUAAAGCUGUUUUUAAUAUGUAAUAUGCUGUCAUGGUUUUUUCCCUUCUCAUUUUUAAAAAAUAUUCUAUUUAAAAAAAAUCAUUUUCAUGUCAGCCUGAUCUGAGGCCUCGCCUGUGACAGAGGGUAAAUGAAAUAACAUAUUCAAGGAAAUGUUUGUUUUUAUUGUAAUGCAAUUAUCUUUGGAGAUGAACAUCUCUCUCUCCCUCUCUGUCUUUUUUAGCUGAUCAAAAUAUGUUUUCGUUGGUAUUAACAACCUUCUCAGUCAAUUUUCUUAACAUUUGUGGUGCAUAAACAUGACACUACUCCAGAAAGAACUGCAGCAAAAUGCGCUUAUUAAUUCUAAUGAUGCCAACUUUGAUGAUUACUUCCCUACGUAUUUUACCAUGUGGGUACCGUUUACCAUUGUCUUCAAAGUCCAAAGGAGGCUCCAUGCAACUUUGGCAUGACAAUUAUGGAUGACCACUCCUCUUCAGCCAUCCAAUCAGAUUAAACUAGAGUUCAGACCCACUGAAGGAGACAGCCUGGUUUCUAGUCCAUAACAAAAAAGGCCGGAAUGGUACCAGGUCCCUCAAACCAGCCUGGAAAUACCUGCCCGUAUCCUAAACUACCUGACAGUAUACAGUACUAUUAAGAGCUAAAAUAUUUCGAGUUGAUGUUUUUCCCCCACUAAAGUUGGAAAGCUUGCUCUCCCUCUCUCUCUUUCUGUCUUUCACUCUGCUGCUGUCAGUUUGCUGCCUGCACUUUAGCUGUCUCUUUCCCAGUCCCUACCCUGUCAGUUUCUGGCCUGCCAAUUUCAACUUGAAGCUUGACUGGGCUGAUUUGAUGCAAAUACCUCCAGGGAAAACCCUGAAACUGAUGAACAGUUAUGUCAAGUCGAUUUUGCACCAUCGGGAAAAGGUAACCUCUGCGAGAAAAAAAAACAACAAGGUUAAAGAGACAAGGGCUUUUCACGUGUAAUACCACUGCUGCACAUCUCGUUCACUGUUUACCAUCCCUCAGAAAUUGUAACUGUCAGAAUUAGUCCUAAUUGCAGAUGCGAAAGCUGCCAUUAUAAUAAAAACAGAGGCAGUGCAGGCAUUAAAUGUAGCAGCCUAAUUUGUGAGACUACUGAAAAGGUAGAGUAAAUGAAUAUUUCAUUACUUUAAUUACCAGGGACUACUCUUUUCUUGCUGUCUUAUGAUAAGUGUUGCUGUAACUAGCAACAGCAAACAUCCACUAAAACAUAAAGUGCAAUAAUAGUACUGCUGUCAGGAUCACUGCUUUAAAAUACGAGGGGGGGGAGGAGAUAUAAUGGGUUAUCUAUUUCUUGGAGAUUCGCAGGAGUAGGAGAUGGAAACUCAUUUAACGUCAAAAAACAAAGAGGCGAGUAAACAGGUUUUAGUCAAAGAAAAUAAUGGCCCAGAGGGGG